CUACGGGAGCCGGACUUCAUCCCCGACUUCAAUUGCUAGUUAACUUCGUCUGGACUCCUACGGGAGCCAGACUUUGUCCCUGACUUCGACCAUAGGAUGACUUCAUCCGGACUCCUACGGGAGCCAAACUCUGAGCUCCUACUGCAAGCGACCCACUCCGAGUUUUUGUUGCAAACGAUCUACUUCAAAUUUCUACCACGAGCGGUCCAUGCCGAGUUCCCACCAUAAGCCUUCGCUCAAGCUUCCAUUAUGGAUGAAUUCCUUUCAUAUUUCUGUUGCAGACAGGCCUUGGCCGAGCCCCCUCAACAAAUGAUCCCCAUCCGGGCUUCUACGG
rnacentral:lncRNA from 1 species